rnacentral:rRNA from 1 species
CAAGUCGAACGGCAGCACGGGGGCAACCCUGGUGGCGAGUGGCGAACGGGUGAGUAAUGCAUCGGAACGUGUCCUCUUGUGGGGGAUAACCAGUCGAAACAUUGGCUAAUACCGCAUGAGAUCGAAAGAUGAAAGCGGGGGACCGCAAGGCCUCGCGCGAGAGGAGCGGCCGAUGCCGGAUUAGCUAGUUGGUGGGUAAAGGCCCACCAAGGCGACGAUCCGUAGCUGGUCUGAGAGGACGACCAGCCACACUGGGACUGAGACACGGCCCAGACUCCUACGGGAGGCAGCAGUGGGGAAUUUUGGACAAUGGGCGCAAGCCUGAUCCAGCCAUGCCGCGUGUGUGAAGAAGGCCUUCGGGUUGUAAAGCACUUUCGGACGGAACGAAAUCGCGCGCAUGAACAAUGCGCGUGGAUGACGGUACCGUAAGAAGAAGCACCGGCUAACUACGUGCCAGCAGCCGCGGUAAUACGUAGGGUGCAAGCGUUAAUCGGAAUUACUGGGCGUAAAGGGUGCGCAGGCGGCCCCGCAUGUCAGGCGUGAAAUCCCCGGGCUCAACCUGGGAAUGGCGUCUGAAACUACGGGGCUGGAGUGUGGCAGAGGGAGGUGGAAUUCCACGU